GAUGAAGAACGCAGCAAAAUGCGAUAAGUAAUGUGAAUUGCAGAAUUCAGUGAAUCAUCGAAUCUUUGAACGCACAUUGCGCCCGCCAGUACUCUGGCGGGCAUGCCUGUCCGAGCGUCAUUUCAACCCUCAGGGCCCUCCAGCAGGGCGCUGGUGUUGGGGAUCGGCAGUCCCAGCGGCUGCCGUCCCUGAAAUGUAGUGGCGGUCCCACCGUGACCUCCCCUGUGCAGUACAUCGCUCGCAGAGGGACAGCGGUGCGGCCACGCCGUAAAACGCCCAACUCUUCAAGGUUGACCUCGGAUCAGGUAGGGAUACCCGCUGAACUUAAGCAUAUCAAUAAGCGGAGGA
rnacentral:misc_RNA from 1 species